AAGUCGUAACAAGGUUUCCGUAGGUGAACCUGCGGAAGGAUCAUUAACAAAAUCUAAUUUUACCUUUGUGAAUUGAGUAUUCGAGCAAUCGAGUACUUUUUUACGUUAAGUCUAAAUCUAUACAAUAAUUAUAAUUAUAAUUUUUAACAAUGGAUCUCUAGGCUCUU
rnacentral:misc_RNA from 1 species